UACAGAGGUCUCGAGCGUUAGGCGGAAUCACUGGGCUUACAGCGUGUGUAGGCGGAUCGUUAAGUACCUUGUGAAAUCCCACGGCUUAACCGUGGAACUGCUUGGUAUACUGGCGGUCUUGAGCCAGCUAGGGGCUACCGGAACAAAUGGUGGAGCGGUGAAAUGCGUAGAUAUCAUUUGGAACGCCAAUGGUGAAAACAGGUAGCUGGGGCUGUGCUGACGCUGAGACACGAAAGCCAGGGGAGCAAACGGG
rnacentral:rRNA from 1 species